AGCAAUACGGAGUGGCGCACGGGUGAGUAACGCGUGGAUACCUGCCCCUUGGUGGGGGAUAACGCCGGGAAACUGGCGCUAAUACCGCAUACGCCCUUAGGGGGAAAGAUUUAUCGCCGAGGGAGGGGUCCGCGUCCGAUUAGCUAGUUGGUGAGGUAACGGCUCACCAAGGCGAUGAUCGGUAGCUGGUCUGAGAGGAUGAUCAGCCACACUGGGACUGAGACACGGCCCAGACUCCUACGGGAGGCAGCAGUGGGGAAUAUUGGACAAUGGGGGCAACCCUGAUCCAGCCAUGCCGCGUGAGUGAUGAAGGCCUUAGGGUUGUAAAGCUCUUUCGGCGGGGACGAUGAUGACGGUACCCGCAGAAGAAGCCCCGGCUAACUUCGUGCCAGCAGCCGCGGUAAUACGAAGGGGGCUAGCGUUGUUCGGAAUUACUGGGCGUAAAGGGCGCGUAGGCGGCCUUGCACG
rnacentral:rRNA from 1 species